rnacentral:rRNA from 1 species
UACAGAGGUCCCAAGCGUUGUUCGGAUUCACUGGGCGUAAAGGGUGCGUAGGCGGUCGGGUAAGUCUGACGUGAAAUCUCCAAGCCUAACUUGGAAACUGCGUUGGAUACUAUCCGGCUCGAGGAAUGGAGGGGAGACUGGAAUACUUGGUGUAGCAGUGAAAUGCGUAGAUAUCAAGUGGAACACCAGUGGCGAAGGCGAGUCUCUGGACAUUUCCUGACGCUGAGGCACGAAAGCCAGGGGAGCAAGCGGG